AUCCUUCUUUAACAAUGCCUUAAAUUUUUAUCUCCUUAUCCAUUCCUCAUUGCUUUCUUUCUCAAGACAUUAUGGUUUAUUGUGUCUCCACUAGGUACCUCACAUGUGAUUUACACAGUGAAUGGCCCUGCUUUCGGAGCAAGUUAAUGAUAUAAUAUUCCCAUUUAUAUUCAGAACAGUCAACACUUUCUAGCUUUCAGAAUAAUAAAAGCACCUGCAUUUAAUAUACAUGGAAGAAUGGGAAGGCAAAUAGCAGAUAAGGCACAAUCAGGCUUGAUGGAGUUAUUGUGAUGAUCACACCUGGAAUUAAGGCAUCAUGGAGGAGCUAACUGGAAUGAGACAGAAGAACUACAAUGGGCACAAUACAGUAUAUAUUGUGAUGAAGGAGGAAGCACACAUUUAUUUUUGAGAUCUUUGGACAGAUGAAGUGAGACUUUUGCCCCUCAUCUCACCUUUCUCCAAAAUAUGCUGGUUCUGUUAUCUUUGUUUCCUUUCUGUCCCUUGGCCCCAUGGUAAGUUAGAAGAAAGGAGUGGUACAACCAAGACCAAGGGUGGCAAUGUUACUGCUGCUGUUCUGUUGAAAUGAUUUCAUUCGCUGCUUGUUCUCUUUUCUUAGACUCUGGCAUUUUCAAAAAAUAGGAUUAGGUUCUUAGUUGCUAUAUAAACACUAAAGAAGGUAUGCAAUGAGAAAUUAUUUCCUGAUUUGAGUCCAUAAAUCAAAUGCUUUGGAGAGCAUUUCCUAUAA
rnacentral:lncRNA from 1 species